rnacentral:tRNA from 1 species
GCGGCGGUGGUGUAAUGGCGUAGAGCAUUCCCGCCCGGUCAGAGGGAGGUGCGGGUUCGAGUCCCGUCCGGCGCC